GAAUGUGAGAGGGAUCUUUCACUCUGUUGAACAGCUGGGCUGAUUCAGCUGAUCUGGCUGCCUAGAUGAAUGCCCCCUUCUUCCCUCACUGCUUCCUGUGCAUCCCUUCCAAAGAUGCAUGAUCAAUGGAAGAGGAUGACCAUCUCAGACAGGCGCGUGCAGAG